rnacentral:rRNA from 1 species
AUGGAUCCGCAAGCUAGUAGUAGCAGGAGUAUUACACAAAGUGACCUGGAGCGCAUGCUACUUGAUGAAGCCGCAGAGCCCAAGGCCCUUCCGUUCUCACUUUUGGAGAAGAUCACUAACAAUUUUUAUUAUAAGAACGAAAUUGGUAGAGGUGGUUUUGCGGUGGUUUAUAUGGGAGUGCUUGAGAAUGGGGUGGUCGCCGUAAAGAGGUUAUAUGAUGCAUAUAAGUAUGAGAAAGAAUUCCUCCGAGAGGUUGAAUCUCUCAUGAAGGUGAAGCAUAAAAAUAUAGUACGGUUCCUAGGGUAUUGUGUUGACAUACAAGGGAAGGUGGAUAGGUAUAAUGGAAAAAUUGUUAUGGCCGAUAUACAAGAAAGAUUGUUCUGCUUUGCAUAUCUACCUAACGGCAGUCUCGAUAAGCAUAUAAAAGUAGAUGGAUCUUGUGGAAUUGAAUGGAAAACAUGUUAUCGUAUAAUCAAGGGGAUAUGUGAGGGACUACAUUACCUGCACAGUAUAAAUAUUAUGCACCUCGACUUGAAACCUUCAAAUAUAUUGAUGGAUGAUAAUAUGGUACCAAAAAUAACUGACUUUGGUGUCUCGAGGAACUUUGAGGAAAUGCAAUCCCGAACCGUUGCUACAAAAAUGAUUGGAACGAUGUAA